rnacentral:rRNA from 1 species
GAUGAACGCUGGCGGCGUGCUUAACACAUGCAAGUCGAACGAUGAAGCCCAGCUUGCUGGGUGGUUUAGUGGCGAACGGGUGAGUAACACGUGAGUAAACUGCCCUUAACUCUGGGAUAAGCCUGGGAAACUGGGUCUAAUACCGGAUAGCGGAGUCCACCUCAGGGUGGGAGUUGGGAAGAUUUAUCGGUUUUGGAUGGACGCGCGGCGUAUCAGCUUGUUCGUGGGGUAGUGGCUCAGCAAGGCGACGACGGGUAGCCGGCCUGAGAAGGUGACCAGCCACACUGGUACUGAGAGACGGCCCAGACUCCUACGGGAGGCAGCAGUGGGGAAUAUUGCACAGUGGGCGCAAGCCUGAUGCAGCGACGCCGCGUGUGGGAUGACGGCCUUCGGGUUGUAAACCUCUUUCAGUAGAGAAGAAGCGAAAGUGACGGUACCUGCAGAAGAAGCACCGGCUAACUACGUG